GAUGAACGCUGGCGGCGUGCCUAAUACAUGCAAGUCGAGCGAACGGACGAGAAGCUUGCUUCUCUGAUGUUAGCGGCGGACGGGUGAGUAACACGUGGAUAACCUACCUAUAAGACUGGGAUAACUUCGGGAAACCGGAGCUAAUACCGGAUAAUAUUUUGAACCGCAUGGUUCAAAAGUGAAAGACGGUCUUGCUGUCACGUAUAGAUGGAUCCGCGCUGCAUUAGCUAGUUGGUAAGGUAACGGCUUACCAAGGCAACGAUGCAUAGCCGACCUGAGAGGGUGAUCGGCCACACUGGAACUGAGACACGGUCCAGACUCCUACGGGAGGCAGCAGUAGGGAAUCUUCCGCAAUGGGCGAAAGCCUGACGGAGCAACGCCGCGUGAGUGAUGAAGGUCUUCGGAUCGUAAAACUCUGUUAGUAGGGAAGAACAUAUGUGUAAGUAACUGUGCACAUCUUGACGGUACCUAAUCAGAAAGCCACGGCUAACUACGUG
rnacentral:rRNA from 1 species